rnacentral:lncRNA from 1 species
CUAAUAAACAAUACAGCGUCUGUCUGUCUAGUUUACCAAUUAUAGUCUGCACACCAACGUGCAGUGUUGGGAAAUUAUUUUUCAUGUUGAAUUAUGUGCACCCAACACUUUGUUAAGAGGUUACAAAUGUAUCAUAAGGAUAAAAGAACGGCAGUUCCGAUUAUUUGAAGGAGCUUUGGAUAGAAAAGGCGCCAUUUAGGAUGCACCUGCGGUGAUGAUGGGAGCGCAUCUGGUGUUUAUUUUCAGGCAAAAGUCGCAUGGCAACAGAGUUUAUCCAUCAAUCACACGAACUUGGACAGACCGCUCCCUGCUAACUGGCCAACAGUUGGGUAUGGAUAGCAUUCAACCUCAGUCUCCAUAGUGACAGUUCACGUCUCCAACAGUGUUUGGUCUCCAGGGAAAACCACCCAGCCACAGCUCCAUCUAAAGCCUCCAAAGUCAAGGUCAAAGUCUUUGAAAGUGCUAAAACUGCAGACUUACACCGCCCUUCAAAACCCAAAAAGGCUCAAGUCUUCCGGGAGUCCAUCCUGUUUCUGUAAGCAAACAACCCUGUACUGUCAACAGAAUGAUCCCGAGGAUGGUUGGUAGUCCAGACUCACAGAGCCCAGGCCCAUCCCAGAGUGCUGUGCAGCAGCUGGGCGACAGUGCCAGUCAUGCAGAGACCCCAAAGCCCAAGAAGCCCAAAUGGGUCAUAAGGAUCAGAGCCUUCAAGGACCCUGAUACCCUCCCACCGAAGAAGAAGCGACAGAGGAUGACGGAAAAGAGGCCUGCUGUGCCUGCCAUGACCACUGGUUGGUCAGAUGAGGCGUCUGUCAUCAGGGAGCACAAAAGAGCAGCCAGCCAGAGUGAAGGAGGAGAUGGAGACGUCAGUUCACCACCAACCAAACGCUCCACCAGCCAGACAGAGCAGGGAGCUAUUGUCUCUGACACUGAUAUUCACUCCUGUGUGUUUGCACCCACUCACCUAUUCAUGCACACAUAUGCAAUGUCGCCCACUGAGAAGAAUGAGUGUUAAAUUUAGGACUUUAGGAUUUUAUAAACACAUUUUUUUAAAUGUUGCAUUACUCCUGAGGAUGUUUUUAUUCACUAUCUACUACUACUACUUCUUCUACAAAUACUACUGUUAUUGCUGCUACUACUACUACUGCUACUACUACUGUUACUGCUGCUGCUACUACUACUGUUACUGCUGCUACUACUACUACUACUGUUACUGCUGCUACUACUACUACUACUGUUACUGCUGCUGCUGCUACUACUACUGUUACUGCUGCUACUACUACUACUACUGUUACUGCUGCUACUA